UCUAACGUGUUCCAGGAGCUUCUCCUGCUGUGGGACUCUUUGAAAAGAAAAACGGAUGAGUUUGCUGCUACGUCUCUCAACAGCGAGAAACCUGGAGAGGUGAUGGAUAAAUUUGGAAAGCAUGGGAGAUCUGGAUUUAUUAAGACUCGGAUUCCUAGACCCCAGAUUGUAUUGCAGCCAAUCCAGCCUUCUGGACAUGCUGGCAUUUGCAGAAACUGCCUGUGCAAAAUGAGCCACUAUCCUCGGAAGAGCUCCUUGGAGUUCCCUCAGCGAUCAGAGUGCUGCCAUUCCAGGGCAAACUCCUCCAGCAACUUCUCAAUGGAUACUUUUUGGCUAGAAGUGGAGAGCAUCAAGCAGAGUACUGAAUCUGAGCCAGAGGAGUGCAACUUGAUGGACACUAAACCCCCAGAAGAAGGCGAAGCUGAAGCAGAGUGGCUUCAAGAUGCCGGACUCUCUGACUUGAUUGGGGACGGCGCCGAGGAGAAUGGCAACAUUGUGCUGCUUUCCACUUUGACAAAGACCCAGGCUGCAGCAGUGCAGCGGCGGCUGGACACGUACACCCGCUCUCGGAGGAAGAAGAACAAGCAGCCCGUCCGGGAUGUCAGAGACAUUUUUGGUGUGGUUAACUCCGGAGAGACCGAAUCAGAGAUGGAAUCAGGAAUGGAUCAAUCACAUUGCAGGUCUACAUCGUCGAACAACAUACAGAAAUCAGAUACAGUGGGAAUCCAGGACUUCCCAUCGCCACUGAGGGGUUCUGUGAAGGAGGAGUUAUUCUGUACCGAAAUUGCUUAUUCUGAACAAGCAGCUAUCCUGCUCAAAGGAUCAUUUCCUAGGGAAUCCAGGAGGUUCAAAGAUGACUGUUAUUUACCUAAAUUUAGGAUCUCUAAGGGAAGGCUGGGAGUCACCAGGACAGGAGAUCUAUCAUCCCAGGAUAUGAAGAAGAUUCCCACACUAGCACUCAUUGAGCUGACGGCCCUCUGUGACAUCCUCAAUGUAGAGCUGAAAAGAAACAAGGCUGUAAAACGGAAGGGUGCAGAGCACAAGCUUUUUGGCGUUCCACUUGGCACCUUAUUAGAAAAUGACCAAAAGCUCCUCCCAAACACCCGAAUUCCGUUGAUUCUGCAAGCGUUACUAUCAUGUUUGGAAAAGAAAGGGCUGGAAACAGAAGGUAUUCUGAGAGUCUCAGGAUCACAGUCCCGUAUUAAGAGUCUGGAACAAAAGCUAGAAAAUGAAUUCUAUACUGGCUUCUUCCACUGGGAUGAGGUCCAUCAGAAUGAUGUAUCCGGCUUGCUGAAGAGGUUCAUCCGGGAACUUCCUACUCCUCUGUUGACAGCAGAAUACUUACCUGCCUUCUCGGCUGUACAAAAUAUUCCGGAUACUAAACAGAGGUUGCAGGCUCUCAAUUUGCUUAUACUAAUUUUGCCAGAACCCAACCGGAACACCCUGAAGGCCUUGCUGGAGUUUUUGAGGCUGGUUGUUUCUAGAGAAAGAAGAAACAAGAUGAAUCUUUGGAAUGUUUCCACUGUCAUUGCACCAAAUCUCUUCAUGCACAAGGGCUUGCCAAACAAAAUCCCAGAAGGGAAGGAGAAACAGCUGGCAGAGGGGGCAGCUGACAUUGUACAGAUGAUGAUCCAUUACCAGGAUUUGCUCUGGACUGUUCCAUCCUUCUUGGUAACCCAAGUGAGAAAACUGAAUGAGAGCAGCAGUAGGAAGCACCAGUUCUAUGACAAGAGGAUCAAGAACCUGUUAAGAAAGAUUCAUGCAGACAAGGAAAAGACUGAAAAGAACCAUGGUGAACCAUCCAAAAUAGUGAAAGUUCAGGCUUCCCUGUUCCUGAAGGACUCUCUGGAAGUUCACUUAACCAAUGGAAUCAAAGUGGCUGAUGUCUUGAGGCAAUUCCAGAAGAACCUGUGUCAGAAUGGUUGGAACAUCGUCAACACAGUCAGCCUUAUCAAAUGCAAUGGUUCAGUGGAUUCAACUAAUUUGCUGUUGUAUGAAGUUGGCGGCAACAUAUGUGAACAUUGUCUGGAUCCUGAUACCUACCUCCUAGAUCUGUACCAUGUGAAUCCUCAUGCAGAAUGGAUUAUAAGGCCAAACCCAUCUUUUCCAAGAACACACUAGAAAUAAUCUUCAGGAGAGGGAAAAAAAUCUAACCACGAAUUCUGAUAAGGCAAUGAUAAAAAGGAAAGAGGAAUUCUCAAGUACAAUUUAUCCCUUUGUCUUUUUAAAUUGACCAACAGACUGUGGGAAAAGAAACAAUUGCAUUUAUAUAUGUUCAUAUGAACUUCUUGUAGCCAGUGGAAGAAGACACGGUAUGUAUGAUAUGAAUGCUUGUAAUAAAGAACCUCCAGCAAGAGCUUCCAGAAAAGGAAGAAUUAAAGAAAACAUUCUUGAAAGAACCGAGGGAUCUUCUGACUUUGAAAUUCAUUUACUAGAAACACUUUAAAAUCCUCCCAGUAGAUGAGAGAGAUUCCACAACCACAACAUGCUAUAGCUGAUUGCCACCUGUUGAUGUUUAUAGUGAGAAGCUACAUACUUGGGUUAUGGCUUCUUAUAUAGAUGUGUUUUGCUUUAUUGCAUUCUAAGUAAUUUGUUUCAUUUUGGAAAUUUGAAUUGAUAACUAAAAGGGAAGUACCAAACCUGGAAGUCUACCUUCAGAAAACUGCUGAACAAGCCCAACAAUUAUGAAAUAUUAGUUGUGCACAAGUGUGGGCAUAGUAUGUCUGGUGUGAUGCAUUCCCGCAUUACAGUUCAGUACAGCAGUACUGUAUAUGUGUGUGCGCGCACAGUUCAACUGUGAUUAUUUUUUGUUUUAAUGAUGUGUUCCAAGAACACUUUCCUUCUUGGCUACGCUAAACUCUGACAGUAUUAAGGUUUAAUUAAUGUUCACUCACUUUAAAACUGGAUCUCAUGUCCCUUUCUGGUUGUAAUACCUUUUUUACUUUAAUAAUCUCCAAGUAAAAAUUCCAUCUUCUGUAUAUUCUAAAGUCUGUUAUGUCAAAGACAAUCUGUAACACUUGAGCCAUAUAAUGUUCUUUGGUUUAAUAUCUUUGUUGUUUAUUUUGAUAGGUUUUUUUAAAAAAAAUGUUUUAAAGUGUUUUUACCAAAAGCAUGUUAAAUUUGUAUGCACCAUUUAGAAGAACAUUACAAAUCUGUACUUAAAAUUUUAUUUUGUUUCAUCUUCACAGCUGUGAAGGUUUUCCCAGUAGCUAUAAUUUCAGAUGUCUUUGUGUUUAAACGUCCAGCUUGGAGGGGAAAGGAGUAAGGUGCGGAUAGUUAUUUUUGAGAGACUAUAACGACCAGAGAUAUUUCUAAAAAGCUGUGUUUCAUGGACCUGGGGAGUCUGCACUGUUUCUUUCGGCUAAUAAUCAUAGCUGAUGCUGCCAGAAAAGCAUAUGAACAGUUUGUUUGGAUAGGUGCUGCAGGAAGACUUUGGUCCUUUGGACCUAGAGGGAUUUACAAUUGGGCAAGCACCUUUGGCCACCUGGAUGUUUUUAGUUGACCACUUCAAAUUAACCUUAGUCAUGAUAACCAGUAGUAAGGGCUUAUGAGAGCUGGAGUUCAAAAACCUCUGGUAUGUGGACAGCCACUGUUGUCCACCCCGGUUUAGAAGAGUAUACUUUUGUUAGCAGAAAUCCAAGCCCAAGAGGACAAACUGCCCUUUAAAUGUCAUUUCGUACAAUGAUGGAACUUUUUUUUCUUCUUUUUGGUGGUGACAUUGCCUGUCAUUUUUAACUAAGUGGAAUAUUGGGAAGUAACAUGUAGGUAUUCCAUGGGGAGUUUAUCAGAGGAUAGAGCAAGACAUUGCAGAAGCUUGUGGCUGCUGCUGAAAAUGGCAACUGCACAUAAAUUUCCCCUUCCUCAACCUUACUACCGUAUGUCCAAUAUAACUUACCUCCAUAUCAUUGGCAUCAUUGUAAAGUUUCUUUCUUCUUGGGUAGUGAUCAACAAUGCAGGGGUGUUCUGGGGUUGGAGAGUAAAGAAGACAAAAGGUAAGUUUCAUUUGAACUGAAGAAUAAAGAGAGGAAGACAGUUCAUAUUGAUGCUGUUUUCUGCUACUGCUGCUACACUGAGUUCUUUCCAGUGUAUAAUUUUCCAGUUUUGCAUGUGCUGUCCUUUUCACUGAAGAAAAGAUAGAUACAGGGGUUCUGCACAGUACUCAGAUAUUCUGGCAAGGUAUUAACAAAUAUAAAUGAAUGGCACAGUCUGGAUGAAUCAGGUGUUUACACAGGUAUUACAGGGCUAUAUGAGACUAGAGGGAGAGAUAGUCACAGGAUUGAGUGGGUAACGCUGUGUCCCAGCUGGGUUAUUUCUACAGGCACUGUUAGCUCAACUUGUGCCAUACAAACUGAAUUUAGGCUAAGGCAGCUAGUUUGAUAUCUGUCUAGAAGUUUCAAGUUGUGGAGUAUAUCAAGUUUUCCAAGCAGAGAAAGUACUUUGAUCCAACGAGAACAAAUAGGAUAAAAGGUGUUAAUUUUAAUAUUUAUCUAAAGGUCAGGGUUUAAUAGGGUUCAGUCCAUACUAAUGGACAAGGACAAUCUUCUGCCAAUAACUUUCAGUUUUGUAUGUUGGGUAAAUCAUUAUGGGUGGGAAAUUGCUGAAUUAGACUCUUAAAAUGCUAGUAACAAAGU